rnacentral:rRNA from 1 species
AAAACAUGUNUUUUUGAAAAUAAUUUAAGGUUUAAUCUGCCCACUGAUGAAAAUUGAAGGGCUGCAGUAUAUUGACUGUACAAAGGUAGCAUAAUCAAUAGUCUUUUAAUUGAAGACUUGUAUGAAUGAUUUGAUGAAAUAUAAACUGUCUCUGAUUUAAAUAUAGAAUUUAAUUUUUUAGUCAAAAAGCUAAAAUGAUUUUAAAAGACGAGAAGACCCUAUAGAGUUUUAUAUUUAAAUUAUUUAAUAUUUUAUAUAUAAAUUAUAAUAAAAAUUAAUUAAAAUAUUUUAUUGGGGUGAUAGAAAAAUUUAAGAAACUUUUUUUAAAAAAAAUCAUAAAUAAAUGAAAUAAUGAUCCAUAAUUAAUGAUUAAAAGAAAAAAUUACCUUAGGGAUAACAGCGUAAUUUUUUUUUUUAGUUCAAAUAAGAAAAAGAGAUUGCGACCUCGAUGUUGGAUUAAGAUAAAAUUUAAAUGCAAAAGUUUAAAAUUUUGAUCUGUUCGAUCAUUAAAAUCUUACAUGAUCUGAGC